GAUGAACGCUGGCGGCGUGCCUAAUACAUGCAAGUCGAGCGAACGGACGAGAAGCUUGCUUUUCUGAUGUUAGCGGCGGACGGGUGAGUAACACGUGGAUAACCUACCUAUAAGACUGGGAUAACUUCGGGAAACCGGAGCUAAUACCGGAUAAUAUUUUGAACCGCAUGGUUCAAAAGUGAAAGACGGUCUUGCUGUCACUUAUAGAUGGAUCCGCGCUGCAUUAGCUAGUUGGUAAGGUAACGGCUUACCAAGGCAACGAUGCAUAGCCGACCUGAGAGGGUGAUCCGCCACACUGGAACUGAGACACGGUCCAGACUCCUACGGGAGGCAGCAGUAGGGAAUCUUCCGCAAUGGGCGAAAGCCUGACGGAGCAACGCCGCGUGAGUGAUGAAGGUCUUCGGAUCGUAAAACUCUGUUAUUAGGGAAGAACAUAUGUGUAGGUAACUGUGCACAUCUUGACGGUACCUAAUCAGAAAGCCACGGCUAACUACGUG
rnacentral:rRNA from 1 species